CAGAAAGGUCACUAAAUGCCAUUCCAAAGAAAAUUUAACUUGGUUCUGGUGGGAAAGUUCUUCCAAGUACAGUCAACACUAGAAGCAUUUUAAAGGGAAUUGGUUGGAGGUAAUGGGAGUGGGAAGGUGGGAACCAGUUUGAUCCACAGUUUGGUCAACAUAUUUUGUGUAGUUCUGGCACAAUAUGGAAAAUCAACUUACUCUUUCAGAGUUUGAGAGAACCCAUUAUCCAGAUGUGUUUGCUCGAGAAAGACUAGCAGCCAAAAUAGAUCUACCUGAAGCAAGAAUACAGGUAUGGUUUUCUAAUCGAAGGGCCAAAUGGAGAAGAGAAGAAAAACUGAGGAAUCAGAGAAGACAGGCCAGCAACACACCUAGUCAUAUUCCUAUCAGCAGUAGUUUCAGCACCAGUGUCUACCAACCAAUUCCACAACCCACCACACCUGUUUCCUCCUUCACAUCUGGCUCCAUGUUGGGCCGAACAGACACAGCCCUCACAAACACCUACAGCGCUCUGCCGCCUAUGCCCAGCUUCACCAUGGCAAAUAACCUGCCUAUGCAACCCCCAGUCCCCAGCCAGACCUCCUCAUACUCCUGCAUGCUGCCCACCAGCCCUUCAGUGAAUGGGCGGAGUUAUGAUACCUACACCCCCCCACAUAUGCAGACACACAUGAACAGUCAGCCAAUGGGCACCUCGGGCACCACUUCAACAGGACUCAUUUCCCCUGGUGUGUCAGUUCCAGUUCAAGUUCCCGGAAGUGAACCUGAUAUGUCUCAAUACUGG
rnacentral:sRNA from 1 species